rnacentral:misc_RNA from 1 species
ACAGCUAAUUUACACUGAUUAAGGAAUUUACACUAAUUGAAGGAUUCUAACAAGGUAUAUAAGCAAUAUUUGUUCCACAUCCCUAGAAUUGACAAAUCUUCUACAGUGCUGUUACGCUUGCAGUAAUAAUUUCCUAAAUAAAAUUCCAAGAAAAAGGCAUAAGAACGGCUAAAAUUUAAAAAUGUGGAAUAAAAUUGGUUAAUUUCUUUUGUAGUUGCUGAACUUAUAACAAAAUCCCAUUAAUUUAAAUCACUAAGCUUUCAAUUUAAUUUCUGUUUCUCUCUUCAAAAUCAAAGAAAUCAAUUUCAAUUUUUGUUACAAUAUAAUCUUUAAACUAAAUUCCAAUCAAAGUCAAUAACCAUAUUGAACAUUUAAAAUAUAUUUUAAUUGCUUUAAAAAG